rnacentral:rRNA from 1 species
AAUCAACGCUGGCGGCGUGCCUAACACAUGCAAGUCGAACGCGAAAGGGGAGCAAUCCCUGAUUAGAGUGGCAAACGGGUGAGUAACACGUGGGUGACCUGCCUUCGAGUGGGGGAUAACCUUCCGAAAGGAGGGCUAAUACCGCAUGACAUACCGUGUUUGGAUACACGGAUAUCAAAGCCGGGGAUCGCAAGACCUGGCGCUUGAAGAGGGGCCCGCGUCCGAUUAGCUAGUUGGUGGGGUAACGGCU